rnacentral:rRNA from 1 species
UUAGAGUUUGAUCCUGGCUCAGGAUGAACGCUGGCGGCGUGCUUAAUACAUGCAAGUCGAACGAGGAGCUAUUAUCUUCGGAUGAGAGAAUUCCUAGUGGCGAACGGGUGAGUAACGCGUUGGCGACCUGCCCCAAAGAAGGGGAUAACAGUUCGAAAGGACUGCUAAUACCCUAUGUUAUCAGUUGGAUUAGAAGCCUACUGAUUAAAGGAGUAAUCCGCUUUGGGAGGGACCUGCGUUCCAUCAGCUAGUUGGUAGGGUAACGGCCUACCAAGGCAAUGACGGGUAGGGGACCUGAGAGGGUGACCCCCCACAAUGGCACUGAAACACGGGCCAUACACCUACGGGUGGCAGCAGUAGGGAAUAUUGGACAAUGGGCGAAAGCCUGAUCCAGCAACGCCGCGUGCACGAUGACGGCCUUCGGGUUGUAAAGUGCUUUUAGAGGAGAUGAGAAAGGACAGUAUCCUCUGAAUAAGCCUCGGCGAACUACGUGCCAGCAGCCGCGGUAAAACGUAGGAGGCAAGCGUUAUCCGGAUUUAUUGGGCGUAAAGCGCGUGCAGGCGGUCUAGCAAGUUGGAUGUGAAAGCUCCCGGCUUAACUGGGAGAGGUCAUUCAAUACUGUUAGACUAGAGAAUGGGAGAGGGAGGUGGAAUUCCGGGUGUAGUGGUGAAAUGCGUAGAUAUCCGGAGGAACACCAGUGGCGAAAGCGGCCUCCUAGACCAUUUCUGACGCUAAGACGCGAAAGCUAGGGUAGCAAACGGGAUUAGAGACCCCGGUAGUCCUAGCUGUAAACGAUGUAGACUUGGCGUUGGCGGAGUUAAAUCUGUCAGUGCCGUAGCUAACGCGAUAAGUCUACCGCCUGGGGACUACGAUCGCAAGAUUAAAACUCAAAGGAAUUGACGGG